GCCACCGUGGCUAGUACCAGCCAGGAACUAAUGCCACAAGCUGCAGCCACUAAUGCAGUAAGUCUCACACUUCAAAUGCACCAUACAGGAUGUCAAGGCACAUUACAGACAUAGGAGUGCAGAAGUAUUAUGGAGCAUUCCUGUUACAAGGAAUUUCUGUGUAGCUAACCAAGGAUACGGAGUCAAACAAACACUGUCAAAGGUAUGCUGCUCCAAUAGCUAGCAAAGCCAAUUUGGAGUGAUGGUUCUAAACAUGGGUUUUCUGUGAAGGCUCAGGCUUAACGUAUAAUUAUCAGAGCUCUGUUUAGAGGGCAUGCUGUGGCACUAGGUUGGAAAUAGGCAGGUCAAAGAAGUAAACAGGAUCAUUUUAAGCCAAAAUCAUCACCAAAUGCAGUCCUGCUGUGCAAAGAGGAUAUUAAAUCAGGGUAAUGACUCCCAAACCUCCUCAUCUCUUCUCUAGCUGCAGCUGCCCAGGGGAUGGGCUCAGGACAGGGCUUUCCCAGCUGCAAGAGGCACUGAAGUUCUGGUUAAGCAGGCAGUUGGAGUAGGGAAAUGAAAAUUAAUCAACGUUUCUCAAAAACAGUGGUUCGAUCUAAAACAAGGCUGGUGCUGGAGAAGCCUCUCCCCCAUAGGGAUGUGGAUGGAUGUGUGCCUUUCCUGCGGCAGCCAGCUCUGAGUGCUCUGCAGCUCAUCACGGCACUGGUGCUGUGGACAGUUGCCAGAGCUGCUUUUCUGCCAUCAGUCCCCCUCCUUCUCUCUCCCUUCCCCGUGCUACAGAGGGCUCACUUGCCUCACUGGAUGCAUUCCAUGCUGCAACUGUGGCUACUGGCACGGAGGGAAUGGUGGGUUGGUUUUACAUCAUGGUUUUUCAGUGGAAGCAAGUCGUUAAAAUAAGAGAAUAAAGCUAAACAAAAGGCUGUGUCUGCUGCUGAAGCUGUUCCACAGAGCAAGUGCAUCUGCUUUUUCUCACCUCUGAAACAAAUCGAUAUGGCUUUAAAUGAUUAUCCCUGAUGCCUAUAUCUCUUACCUCAUGCUGCUGUUAUCCCAGCCUCGCUACUGCCUGGUCAUUCCUACCUCUUCCUUUCAGUCUCUCUCCCUUGGCUGCUUCUCUUUGCGUUCUCUCAAACAUGCACACAAAAUGCUCACUGGAGCAGCUCAGCUUUGCUCAGGCGUUGUUUCCUUCUGCAGACAAGCACAC